rnacentral:rRNA from 1 species
CUUGUACUUAGUUGAAUUUUUCUAGGUAGACUGCCCCGGUAACGGGGACGGAAGGAGGGGAUGAUGUCAGGUCAGUAUUUCCCUUACGUCCUGGGCUAGAAACACGAUACAAUGGCAAGUACAAUGCGCAGCGAAGCCGCGAGGUGGAGCAAAUCGCUCAAAGCUUGUCCCAGUUCGGAUUGGAGGCUGAAACUCGCCUCCAUGAAGUCGGAAUCGCUAGUAAUCGCAAUCAGCAAGUUGCGGCGAAUACGUUC